UGUUCCAUAUUCAAUAAGUAACUAAGAUAGAAUGAUGCUUGUGUUGACUUAUGUUAUUAAAUGAAAGGCACCUAAUAGUGUGUUCGAGUGGCUCUGGUGGCUAUGGUAUUCACCUGAAGGACAAGAAUAUUAUUGACUUCCACGAAAUUCUUCAAGUUUUGCACAAUACUAAUCAAAGCUUAUAAACUCUAGUGUGGAAAUUUCAUCAGUAUAAUGGCGUUGGGCGAUGAAUUCCUAGAGACACAUUGAAGUUGAAAUCUACAUGUAUCGUGUAUUAAAUAUAUGCUAAUUUUGGUCAACCAAGAUGGCCGCGGUGUAUAUUUCCCCUUACUCCUAAAGCUUCACAUCCCGCGUUUAUGGUGGUACCUUAUGCUCAAUCCAGAUGUUCUUACGUCCAUGAUCGUGAGCCAUUUAUAACACAACACAUACUGUGGAGACAAUGCAUCAUGCCUGUGACAAGAAUCUAAACAAAAGCAUACAUUGAUAAUAUCACGAAUUAAAGCACAACAAGUCACAAUGGCUGCUAUGAGAGGCAUUCACAGUUUGAGGUUUAAUCAGGAUCAAGGAUGCUUCAUGUGUUGCAUGGAGUCUGGAUUGAGAAUUUACAAUGUCGAGCCACUAGUUGAGAAAGCACAUUUUGAGAAUGAAUUGAUGGGAAGUAUCGCUAUAGCAGAGAUGCUCUGGAGGACAAACGUGAUCGCUGUAGUAGGUGGUGGGACACGUGCCAAAUUUGCAGAUAAUACUGUUUUGAUUUAUGAUGAUUUGUCUAAGAAAUUUGUCAUGGAGGUUACAUUUACCAGUCCCAUUAAAGCUGUCAGAUUGCGAAGAGAUAAAAUGAUAGUGGCGCUCCAGAGAGAGGUCCACGUCUUUUCGUUUCCCACUCCUACUCGGCGGUUACUGACGUUGGAAACGCGGGACAAUCCGAAGGGUUUGGUAGAGAUAGCGACUCUCGCGUCAGCGCAGAAGCAACUGCUGGCUUUUCCCGGCCAUAAACUCGGUAGCGUGCAGUUGCUGGAUCUCGGCGCGACCGAGGCUGGAAGUUCCAGUGCUCCCGUGACUCUUGCGGCGCAUCAAGGUGCACUAGCCUGUCUGGCGGUUAACGGAAAUGGAACUAUGGUUGCUACCGCAUCCGCUCAAGGAACCCUAGUCAGAGUAUGGGACUCCAUACGAAGGCAUCUGUUAGUCGAAUUGAGACGUGGUGCCGAUCCUGCUACAUUUUAUUGUAUAACGUUCAGCAGAGAUUCAGAAUUUUUGUGUGUCUCUAGUGACAAGGGAACAGUACACAUAUUCGCCCUGAAAGAUACUCGCUUAAAUCGACGAUCCACGUAUUUUUUCAAAGAUGGGUUUUCUGGGUAACUACAUUGAGAGUCAGUGGGCAUUGGCUACUUUCACAGUACCCCCUGAAUGCGCGUGCGUUUGUGCGUUUGGCGCACAUAAUUCUGUGAUAGCUAUAUGCAUGGACGGAACGUUCCACAAGUAUGUGUUCACUGCAGAAGGCAAUUGUAAUCGGCAAGCAUUUGAUGUCUUCCUGGACGUUUGCGAUGAUAACGAUUUUUAACAUAAGGCCUAUAUUUCGUAUGCGCGCGUGUGUACAAUGCGUACGCAUAGUUAUAAGAUCAUGUACUACCGAUGAAAUUUCUAGUCGAUUUUGCGAACGAAAUUUCUUGUGCGUGAUAAUUAUUCGGGCAGUUGAAUCACUCGCUAUUGUAGUAGAAAGUAAAGUAAAAAUACCAACGUCUAAAGACACGUAGUUAACUCUGGACAUUCUUAUUGUUUUGGUCUUUAAGGAUCCUCGCCGUGGAACUCUCGACUGAUGACAUCAGAAGCAAGGAAUCACGAAUAUUUAAACUUUCAACAUAGAAUAAAUAAAUAAAUAAAUAUAUAUAUAUAUAUAUAUAUAUAUAUACUUUUUUUAUGAUAAAGGUUUGAGUAUUUAUAUUUAAAGAGUAUAAAUAAGAAUAUCCAAAGUUAGACAAGUCUAGGCAUUAGUAAUUUUACCCUAUAUAAGUAAGUUAUUUUGUGAUAGAAAAAGAUGAUAUUGGGUGCAUUUAGUACUACAACUGUGCGUUGAACUUCUGUAUCUGACUAGUGUAUAUUUUUAAAUCGAGAAAAAUAUGCCAAUUGAAUACAAGAAUUCAGUAGACAAUAUAGUACUGAAUGCAUACAUUUUAUGCUGUAAAAUAAGCCUACAGUUAUAUUCCAUAAACCGUUAUCUAUGCUAAUUAUACAUUUUUUUAUGACUAAUGUACUUUUCAAAAUUGACAAUUUAAUUGCAAGGAACAUUAAUAGACAUUUAUUUUAUACAACA